ensembl:lncRNA
CCAGUAGUAGUAAGAGAAGUAGCAGUAGUAGUAGUAGUAGUAGUAGUAGUAGUAGGAAAAGUAGUAGUAGGAGAAGGAGGAGGAACAGCAACAGAAGUAGUAGGAGGAGAAGUAGCAGUCGUAGUUGUAGUAGUAGCAGUAGUAGGAGGAGUAGUAGCUGCAGUAGUAGUAGCAGUUGCAGUAGGAGAAGUAGCAGCAGUUGUUGUGGGAAGAGGAGAAGUAGUGGCAGCAAUAGUUGUAGCAGUAGGAGGAGGAGGAGGAACAGCAACAGUAGUAGUAUUAGGAGUAGUAAUUGUUGUGGUGGAAAGAGGAGGAGUAGUAGCAGCAGCUCUACUAGUUGUAGAAUGUGACAGAGUAGUAGCAGCAGCAGUAGUAGUAGUAGUUGUUGUAGGAGGAACAGCAACAGUAGUAGUAUUAUUAGUAGCAGUAGUAGUUGUUGUUGUGGAAAGUGGAGGAGGAGUAGCAGCAGUAGUAGUAGUUGUAGUAGGAGUAGUAGCAAUAGUAGUAGCAGGAGAAGAAACAGCAAAAGUAGUAGUAUUAGGAGUAUUAGUUGUUGUAGAAGGAAUAGGAGUAGUAGCAGCAGUAGGAGGAGGAACAGCCACAGUAGUAGUAGGAGUAGAAGUAGCAGCUGUUAUAAUAGAAAGAGAAGGACUAGUAGCAGCAGUAGUAGUUGUUGUAGAAGGAGUAGGAGUAGUACCACUAGUAGGAGGAACAGCAACAGUAGUAGUAGUAGUAGUGGAAAGAGGAGGACUAGUAGCAGCUGUAGUGGUUGUUGUAGAAGGAGUAAGGGUAGUAGCAGCAGUAGUAGUAGAAGUAGUAGGAGGAACAGCAACAGUAGUAGUAUUAGGAGUAGUAGCAGCAGUAGGAGGAGGAGGAGUAGUAGCAGCAGUAGUAGUAGUUGUGGUAGGAGUAGUAGCGGCAGUAGAAGUAAGAGGAACAGCAACAGUAGUGGUAUUAGGAGUAGCAGUAGUAGUAGUAGUAAUUGUAGAAGUAGUAUGAGUAGUAGCAGCAGUAGUAGUAAGAGGAGGAACAGCAACAGUAGUAGUAGUAGAAGUAGUAUCAGUAAUAGUAGUGGUGGCAGCAGUCGUAGAUGUAGUAGUAAUUGUUGGUGGCAUUGCUGGCACUGAUGAAAACAAACAAUAAAAUAAUAAGAAGAAAAAAGAAAGAUUAUCUA